rnacentral:lncRNA from 1 species
UGAGCAAUGGUCAAUACACAGGUGUUGUCCACCGAGCAGCAGUUAACUCAGAGAAAAAGCGCCUUUCCAUUGCCAGUCUUCACAGUCUAGCUUUAGGUAAAAAAGUUAGACCUGCCCCAGCUCUUGUCGAUGAACAACAUAUAUUGUCCUAUAACGAAGGAGGAUUCAGUGAUUUCCUUGACUUCAUUUCUGGAGAAGAUAUUGUGCAGGUAAAGUACAUAGAUAAAUUAAAAAUAAAUCCAUGAUGAUUAUAUAUAGUCCACGGACAGCAGAUAAUCUGUGCUAAAAUCCUAAGGUGUAUAACCAGUAGCCAUUUUUUCUAUGUACUUUGUGCCAAUAUCUAAGGGUGGGUGUUUGGUUCUUCACUGGUGCAUACUGAAUUCCGAACAGAACUAGUUCGAUUCAGUUCGGUUUUUUUCUAAUUCGGUUCGGUUCUUCGGUAUGCGCUUGAUAAGUACUUCUUACUGCAAACCCAAGGUUCACUAAAUCUGGGUUGAAGAGAAACCACCAUCAACGGAGGUAGACUGUGUAGAAACUGGGCUAGAGAUGGUGUGUGCAGCAUCACUUAUGUACACACGUUGUUAUUGUCUUAUAAAGAAACUGGUCUUUAUUCCCUACAUUCAAUCUUUCAUAGCAGUGUCCAACUUUUGCUCUUCUUAUUCUUUAUUGUUUCUAUUUUUUAAGAAUAAGAUUGAAUGUAUCAACAACUCUUGUUCAAAGUUUCCAUUUAAUAAUGAAAAUCCUCUGUUCUUAAAUACAUGUCUCUUGAGCGAUCACUGAUAUAUUUAGAUCAGCAUUAGAAGUUGAGUUUGAGGGAAGAAAAAAUCUUUAAGUGAGCUUGUACUAUAUAUCAUCAAAAUGUUGAUAAACAUGGACAUACAAGUAUAAUUAGGGGAAUAUAUGCCUAGAGAUAUGGUUCACUGAAAGGUCGCUGCAGUAUUCUACACUGAAGCUCCACAAAAUUUCAGUUCUUCAGUUAAGGACCCAAAAACCGAGAACCGAACACCAAAGUCUUAAAAAAUUUAAUACCGAAACCGAAGAAAUGAAUUAAUUUGGUCCAGUUUUUCAGUUAUUAUGCCUCUCCCUACUAAUAUCACUUGAGAGAGGCUCUCCUUUCUUCACGCUAGGGGGAUUUACUGUGAAAAAUAAGAAUAUAAGGAUCCAUAACUUUUGCAUCUCGGUAUAGCAGGACUUGAACUUGCGAUCUUUAUGACGCAUUAUCAGGACUGUGAAAAAGUCCAAGGUUGUACCAACUGAGCUACUAAUUAACAAAAUUAAGACGCAGCAUCAGGAUCUUCAAUAAGUCCAGUGAUUUACCUCAGUUAUCUAACAUCGUAUACUUCAGCAGAUAGAAGCCAGCAACUGGAAAAUUCAAAUAAUUUUCAAAGUGGAAUUAAGUUCUAAGUUCCAACAUAAACAUCUAGUUUGUAUACAUAUACAUCAAAAAUCACCUUCCACGUUUUGUUUAUAUAGCACAGAAGCAGCCAUAUACAUCAAAAUGACCUUCCACAUUUUGUUUAUAUAGCACAGAAGCAGCCAGCAUAACAAAACAGCUCUGAUAUUUUUGAAAAAGUCAACAGCUCUGAUAUUAAUAUAUCGUUUUUUAAAAUUACUUCAGGUUUUCUGUUGAGAAGUUUUCAUCGUAAGCCAACAGGAAGUAUGCCUUCAAACUCAAGUUCCAUGACUGAGGUAAUGCUCACAUAUGAUUUGGCUUAUGUUUCGACAUCCAAGCUGUUUUCCCUCCAACACUAUCCACUCAUUCCAAAGCACCUUCAAACUAACUUGAAAUUGUUGCAAAUCAAGGAAUAAAUUUUCAGGCAUUUACAUAUGAAUUUCUUUAACUAAAUUGGUUAUUUUAUAUAGUUUGUACAACUUACAAACUUGCAAUAUUUUCCACUUCCAAAAGGUUAUCACCAUGCAUAAUCAGAAUCAAUUGUUAAUAUUUCUCUAAAUGAACACAUGCACUUUGUUUAUCUUAAUUGUUUCAAUUUACUUCCAAUUAAUUCCUUAUGUCAGCUCAUGAUAUUUAAGAUUUAGUGAUCGUUAGUACAUAAUUCAAGCUAAUAAUGUACUGUUUCCAUCGUAGAAUAAUAGAUCAUCUCCUUAGAAAUAAGCACAACAUAUCCUCAUAUCUCGUAAUUAAAACAUCAUAUUUUCCCAAUUAUUUAAUCUAGAGAUGGCAAGAUUUCUGUUUUCCCCCAUUCAGAUAGGUGUGGAGAUUAAAUUUUCCUCCUUUAUUUGGAGCAAUUAGACAACUCUCCAAUUAUUUGAACAACAUCAUUGUUUAAUCACAACUACCCUUAUUUGUCCGGUGUUAAAGACUCUCCAAGGAGGAUAAUGGAUAACAGUUAAAAGCCAAAGACAUUCAAUAAUUCGACGAACAAAAACGCAGCACAUUAAUGUAUUUCAACUUUCAAGUAAGUUUAAGUAUUCAUUUUCCUCCUUGAUAUAACUAAGAAUUUUCUAAUUUCUUCAGCUAUUAACACCAUAUUUCUUAGAAAUACAGUUUACGAUGCAAUUUUAAGUGUAUUAAACAAAAUUAUCCCAACAUAUAUUCAGUACUAUAACAAAAAUCAUCUACUUGAAGUUACUAAAACAAUUGCUCGACUUCUUUCCCCUUUUGACGGUCAAAUCUUCUCAACAAAAUAUGAACAGAAAAAAUCAAAAUUGCAGAUAUACAUGAAUCUCACUAUAAUUAGUACAUUACACGCAACAAAAAAAAUCAUCAAAAAUACAGAAACUCUCCACUGUUCCAGGCCAAAAAAAAAACGCGGGAAAAGCACUUACGAUAAUCGAUUCAAAAAAUUAGCCGUCACUCUCUUCCUUCCUUACGUCUCCGCCGGCCAUCGCUAAGCCUCUUCUCCGUCGAAUUUCCUUCCUAACUUAUUCUGAUUAUUUUCAACUGAAGGUGGCUUUCGGG